AGCAGCCGCGGUAAUUCCAGCUCCAAUAGCGUAUAUUAAAGUUGUUGCAGUUAAAAAAGCUCGUAGUUGAAUUUCGGGAUCAAUACGUCUGUCGUGCCUUUGGUACGUACGGGUGUAAUUGGUUUCUGCCUUCUGAGGAUCCUUGAUGUCAUUAAUUUGGUGUCUUGGGGAAUCAGGACUGUUACCUUGAAAAAUUAGAGUGUUUAAAGCAGGCAUACGCUUGAAUACAUUAGCAUGGAAUAAUGAAAUAGGACGUUCGAUUCUAUUUUGUUGGUUUCUAGGAUCGACGUAAUGAUUAAUAGGGAUAGUUGGGGGCAUUAGUAUUCAAUUGUCAGAGGUGAAAUUCUUGGAUUUAUUGAAGACUAACUACUGCGAAAGCAUUUGCCAAGGAUGUUUUCAUUAAUCAAGAACGAAAGUUAGGGGAUCGAAGACGAUCAGAUACCGUCGUAGUCUUAACCAUAAACUAUGCCGGACUAGGGAUCGGGAUGAUUGUUAAUUUUUUAAUGUACUCAUUCGGGCG
rnacentral:rRNA from 1 species